GUCUUCACCCUAUCUCUGCAGCGUGCUGCAGGUGACAAUCAGCGUCAGGUAAACAGAGUGAAGCAGCAUGGCGGCGCCGGUGCGGUGUCUUAAAAUGUUUGAAUUCCGGGACUGUUGGACUCAAGGCUGCAAAGAGAAGAACUACCUGCAAGAUCUGGACCCCUGAAGUUGUGACGGAGGAGCAGGCGAGGAGAUGGCACAGUGGCAGACAGCUGAACGGUCCGAAAUUAAAGCUACACUAUGUCUUUAGCAGCAACUCUACAGAGGUGACUGCUCCUCUGCAAUGUGGUGAUGCAGCUAUUCCAGGAAGUGUGAAAGCGAAGGGUCUUCACACUUGAGAUUUGUGACAUUCUUCAUCCACCAUCAGCAAGAACCAGUCAUUGGAGAAAAAUCCACCGUGAGCAAGACAAUAAAUCCAACGUUAAAGACCAGAACCAGAUAUCCUCUGUCAGUCGUGAAUAAUAUUUGUGUUUCUUGUCUUUUUGGACACUGCCAAUCAAACAGCACCCACACAGCCUUGAUGAAGCAUGAUGUUGUUCAUAUAUAACUAAAAACGGUAUUGUUUGGACACCGUCAAUCAAACGGCUCCCACACUGUCUUGAUAACACAUGAUGUUUUUUUUGUAUAUGACUGUAAAUCUAUUGUUUGGUCACUGUCAAUGGAACAAAACCAGUCUUGAUGAGGCAUGAUGUUUUUGUUUAGAACUACACAUUCGAUUGUUGCAUAUUCAGAGGAAACUAUUUAAAAUCAAAACAGAUGAAGCCAACGUCAAUGUUAAAUAAAAAAAACAUGAGUAUCCUC